UGGUUGUGAGUAUUACAUCAGGUACUGAUUUUGUUCAGUUUAUAAUAUCGGUACCUGACUAAUACUCACAAUCA
rnacentral:pre_miRNA from 1 species